rfam:Camelus ferus unplaced genomic scaffold scaffold261, whole genome shotgun sequence.
GAGGGUAUAGCUCAGUGGUAGUGUGUGCUUGGCAUGCACGAGGUCCUGGGUUCAAUCCCCAGUACUUCCA